UCGUCACACUAUCAUUAACUGAAUCCAUAGGUUAAUGAGGCGAACCGGGGGAACUGAAACAUCUAAGUACCCCGAGGAAAAGAAAUCAACCGAGAUUCCCCCAGUAGCGGCGAGCGAACGGGGAGGAGCCCAGAGCCUGAAUCAGCAUGUGUGUUAGUGGAAGCGUCUGGAAAGGCGCGCGAUACAGGGUGACAGCCCCGUACACAAAAGCGCAUGUGUUGUGAGCUCGAUGAGUAGGGCGGGACACGUGGUAUCCUGUCUGAAUAUGGGGGGACCAUCCUCCAAGGCUAAAUACUCCUGACUGACCGAUAGUGAACCAGUACCGUGAGGGAAAGGCGAAAAGAACCCCGGCGAGGGGAGUGAAAAAGAACCUGAAACCGUGUACGUACAAGCAGUGGGAGCACAGGUUUACCUGUGUGACUGCGUACCUUUUGUAUAAUGGGUCAGCGACUUAU
rnacentral:rRNA from 1 species